GACAGAGGUUGCAAACGUUGUUCGGAAUCACUGGGCAUAAAGCGCACGUAGGCGGUCUGUUAAGUCAGGUGUGAAAGCCCCCGGCUCAACCGGGGAAUUGCAUUUGAUACUGGCAGGCUCGAGAACGGUAGGGGUGAGUGGAACUCCAGGUGGAGCGGUGAAAUGCGUAGAUAUCGGGAGGAACACCAAUGGCGAAGGCAGCUCGCUGGGACGUUACUGACGCUGAGACGCGAAAGCGUGGGGAGCAAACAGG
rnacentral:rRNA from 1 species